GACGAACGCUGGCGGCGUGCUUAACACAUGCAAGUCGAACGAUGAUGCUGGAGCUUGCUCCAGUUGAUUAGUGGCGAACGGGUGAGUAACACGUGAGCAAUCUGCCCUUGACUCUGGGAUAACUGCGGGAAACUGUAGCUAAUACCGGAUACUUUCACCGGAAGGCAUCUUCUGGUGAUGAAAGAAUUUCGGUCAGGGAUGAGCUCGCGGCCUAUCAGCUUGUUGGUGAGGUAACGGCUCACCAAGGCGACGACGGGUAACCGGCCUGAGAGGGUGACCGGUCACACUGGGACUGAGACACGGCCCAGACUCCUACGGGAGGCAGCAGUGGGGAAUAUUGCACAAUGGGCGCAAGCCUGAUGCAGCAACGCCGCGUGAGGGAUGAAGGCCUUCGGGUUGUAAACCUUUUUUAGCAGGGAAGAAGCGAAAGUGAUGGUACCUGCAGAAAAAGCACCGGCUAACUACGUGCCAGCCGCCGCGGUAA
rnacentral:rRNA from 1 species